CUCACUAUUCUUUCCGUGGAUUGGUUACAGUGCUGAACGUUCAAGGGCAGAGUAAUGACCUAACAUUAUCACAAGAUGUCGCACUCUACAAAGUUAAAAGUCAAAGCUCGGCACAAAGUCAGAGAGAAAGUCAGUUCUUCAUCAUGUUAAAAGGGAUAUUGUUCUCCAUAUCAAACCACCCCAAACCACUUCUGCGAGUGAAGGUCCUGUAUUGAGUCUGCGGCAACAAAGACCCUCAUUCUGCCUGACACUGGAGACGUCCUGGCUAAAGCGAGGUCUGUGUCCUGGGACGGAGAGUGAUGCCAGCCAGUAAGAGAUGAACCAUGCGUAGUCUAGGUGCUGUUACGAGCGCAGAUGAAACGCACCAGGCUGAAUCACACCAGAACCUUGUGCCAAAUCACUUUUGCUCAGUCAGUGCCGGACGUGCAAAACAGCCUCUGAUUUCAGACUUCUGAGGGUGAUUUGCAAUAGCCUGUGUGAUCAUCACCAGGCUAUUGUGUUUGGCCGAGGACAUCAACUAAUGGAGCUCAAAGCGUCCUUUUCAAGCGCCUCUCGGUCUGUGUCGGCAACAGGUACCGUACCCGUUCCUGCACAAUGUAAGG